GGGUUCAGAACGUCGUGAGACAGUUCGGUCCCUAUCCGUCGUGGGCGUAGGAAAUUUGAGAGGAGCUGUCCUUAGUACGAGAGGACCGGGAUGGACAUACCUCUGGUGUACCAGUUGUCGUGCCAACGGCAUAGCUGGGUAGCUAUGUGUGGACGGGAUAAGUGCUGAAAGCAUCUAAGCAUAAAGCCCCCCUCAAGAUGAGAUUUCCCAACUUCGGUUAUAAGAUCCCUCAAAGAUGAUGAGGUUAAUAGGUUCGAGGUGGAAGCAUGGUGACAUGUGGAGCUGACGAAUACUAAUCGAUCGAAGACUUAAUCAA
rnacentral:rRNA from 1 species